UAUACGACCGUACCGCAAACCGACACUGGUGCGCGAGAUGAGUAUUCUAAGGCGCUUGAGAGAACUCAGGAGAAGGAACUCGGCAAAUUGACACCGUAACUUCGGAAGAAGGUGUGCCCUAUUAGUGUGUAGUGAACAACGAAGCAUGAAUGGGUUGCAAAAAAUCGGUGGCUGCGACUGUUUAUUAAAAACACAGCGCUCUGCAAACACGAAAGUGGACGUAUAGGGUGUGACGCCUGCCCGGUGCUGGAAGAUUAAAUGAUGGGGUGCAAGCUCUUGAUUGAAGUCCCAGUAAACGGCGGCCGUAACUAUAACGGUCCUAAGGUAGCGAAAUUCCUUGUCGGGUAAGUUCCGACCUGCACGAAUGGCGUAACGAUGGCCACACUGUCUCCUCCUGAGACUCAGCGAAGUUGAAAUGUUUGUGAUGAUGCAAUCUCCCCGCGGAAAGACGGAAAGACCCCAUGAACCUUUACUGUAGCUUUGUAUUGGACUUUGAACAGAUCUGUGUAGGAUAGGUGGGAGGCUUUGAAGCAGGGUCGCUAGAUCUUGUGGAGCCAACGUUGAAAUACCACCCUGGUGUGUUUGAGGUUCUAACCUAGGUCCAUUAUCUGGAUCGGGGACAGUGCAUGGUAGGCAGUUUGACUGGGGCGGUCUCCUCCCAAAGCGUAACGGAGGAGUUCGAAGGUACGCUAGUUACGGUCGGACAUCGUGACGAUAGUGCAAUGGCAUAAGCGUGCUUAACUGCGAGACUGACAAGUCGAGCAGAUGCGAAAGCAGGACAUAGUGAUCCGGUGGUUCUGUAUGGAAGGGCCAUCGCUCAACGGAUAAAAGGUACUCUGGGGAUAACAGGCUGAUACCGCCCAAGAGUUCAUAUCGACGGCGGUGUUUGGCACCUCGAUGUCGGCUCAUCUCAUCCUGGGGCUGUAGCCGGUCCCAAGGGUAUGGCUGUUCGCCAUUUAAAGAGGUACGUGAGCUGGGUUUAAAACGUCGUGAGACAGUUUGGUCCCUAUCUUCCGUGGGCGCUGCAGAUUUGAGGAAGCCUGCUCCUAGUACGAGAGGACCGGAGUGGACACACCUCUGGUGUAUCGGUUGUCACGCCAGUGGCAUUGCCGAGUAGCUAAGUGUGGAAGAGAUAACCGCUGAAAGCAUCUAAGCGGGAAACUCGUUUCAAGAUGAGAUCUGCCGGGGCCUUGAGCCCCCUAAAGAGUCGUUCAAGACCAGGACGUUGAUAGGUCAGGUGUGGAACCAA
rnacentral:rRNA from 1 species